ACUUGAAUUGCUCACAGCUCAUGUAUGAUUUAACAGGCAACAGCAGAGAUAUAAGCAUGCCUGAAUCUCCAGAGCAUGACAAAGGAGUGGAUGGAUAGCACCACAUUCCUGAAAUCUCACUCCAGAUCAAAAAAUAAACUGCAAAAGGAAAAUAAAUGAAUCAUUCUCAUGUCCACUGUGGAUGAAGUUACACAGCAUCACAGAAUCAGAGCUUUAAGAAAUUUUGACAUGUUCUUUCAGAUUCCAAUUCUUUGGAUUCUUAAGCCAAACUUUUUCAAGAUGGACCAGUACCUGCAAAGAGUUGGAGUAUUUUAAAUAUGCCUUUAGAAACUGGGAUAGAAAUAAAAGCUCUGCAGAGACAGAUAAAAGGGAUCA
rnacentral:lncRNA from 1 species